rnacentral:rRNA from 1 species
CCGAGCAACGCCGCGUGAGUGAAGAAGGUUUUCGGAUCGUAAAACUCUGUUGUUAGAGAAGAACAAGGAUGAGAGUAGAAUGUUCAUCCCUUGACGGUAUCUAACCAGAAAGCCACGGCUAACUACGUGCCAGCAGCCGCGGUAAUACGUAGGUGGCAAGCGUUGUCCGGAUUUAUUGGGCGUAAAGCGAGCGCAGGCGGUUUCUUAAGUCUGAUGUGAAAGCCCCCGGCUCAACCGGGGAGGGUCAUUGGAAACUGGGAAACUUGAGUGCAGAAGAGGAGAGUGGAAUUCCAUGUGUAGCGGUGAAAUGCGUAGAUAUAUGGAGGAACACCAGUGG